CCUACGGGUGGCUGCAGUAGGGAAUAUUGCUCAAUGGCGGGAACCCUGAAGCAGCAAAGCCGCGUGGGGGAUGACGGUUCUACGGGUGGAAACUCCUUUUUUUAGGGAAGAUAAUGACGGUAUCUAACGAAUAAGCACCGGCUCACUCCGUGCCAGCACCCGGGGGAAUACGGCGGGAGCAAGCGUUAAUCGGAAUUAAUGGGCGUAAAGAGCGCGUAGGCGGGAUAGCAAGUCAGCUGUGAAAUCCUAUGGCUUAACCAUAGAACUGCAUUUGAAACUGUUAUUCUAGAGUAUGGGAGAGGUAGGGGGAAUGCUUGGUGUAGGGGUAAAAUCCGUAGAGAUCAAGCGGAAUACUGAUCGCGAAGGCGACCUGCUAGAACAUAACUGACGCUGAUGCGCGAAAGCGUGGGGAGCAAACAGGAUUAGAUACCCCUGUAGUC
rnacentral:rRNA from 1 species